rnacentral:lncRNA from 1 species
UUUUAUUGUUUAAUAAACAGGUUUUUUCCACCUUUCCGCAGGGACAUAUUUUUCCCUCCCGGACCAGUUGGAGGGAGGGGCUGAUUGGAUCUGCUUUUCCCACCGGAGCUCCUUUGGGGGAUUCUUCCCCAAAUUUACUCUAAACCUGGACACCCUGUCACUGUUUGUGCUGUUACACCCUGCCUUGUGCUUUGUGAAGGUAGCACUGCCAGCAGAGAGUCUGGUUCUUCUUUCCUGCGUAAUUUCCACCUGAGCAGCACUGACAGACAGGAUGGCCAAGAACAGAAUCUGAGGAGUAUGAGGGGCUACAAGAACAGGGCAUAAGAAUGGGAAAUUUCCUGUGCUGGGGAAACUGCCUGCAUUUAAAAGGUUGUACAGGUGAUGUGGUCAGGAAAAAAACCCUUCCUAAUCUGAAGACUGAAAGAAUGUGGAAGUUAUUAAUUGUAAAAAUGAAAAAAAAAGAAGCCCCAUGGAUGUGUGAAAGACAAAAGCAAGGACUCAGUCUUUCUGCAGGUUUUCAGAACAUUGGGCAAAAUUCAACAUUUAUGAAGAAACCCUUGGAACUACCCAAAUCUGACUCAGUCUUCACACUGACAACUGCAAGUUCUUGGCCCAAGGAUGUUCUGAAUCAUCCCCAGACAUUGUUUUUUCUCAUCCCCAUAAAUAACCCAGUCAAACAACAGCAAGUAAAACCUGGGUCAGUCUACUCUUUAGACUGGGUUUUGCAGAAGAGGAGUAUUGGAAUGAAGACCCAUGAACCUGAUAGGAAAGACCAAAAACUAAUUCUGCUGAGAUUUCCCCCUUGGGCAUCACUUCAAUUCUCUUCUGAGAGUUCUGUGGAGAUAUCUGUGCUGGUAUGUGUCUGAAUAAAUAAUAUUCUUUUCAAUUAGGAUCUGCAGAAUAGGUGCAAAUGCUGUUAGGCUUAUACUGAAAUAUAGAACAAAGGGAAAUAAUUAAUUAAUUUAUGUGUUUUUCCCUCUAGGAAAUAAAUUAGUUACACCUAGUGAAUAUAACA